UACAGAGGGGGCAAGCGUUGUUCGGAAUUACUGGGCGUAAAGGGCGCGUAGGCGGCCUGCUAAGUCGAACGUGAAAUCCCCGGGCUCAACCCGGGAACUGCGUCCGAUACUGGCAGGCUUGAAUUCGGGAGAGGGAUGUGGAAUUCCAGGUGUAGCGGUGAAAUGCGUAGAUAUCUGGAGGAACACCGGUGGCGAAGGCAGCCUUCUGGGCCAACACUGACGCUCAUGGCACGAAAGCGUGGGGAGCAAACAGG
rnacentral:rRNA from 1 species